UACGUAGGGUGCAAGCGUUGUCCGGAAUUAUUGGGCGUAAAGAGCUCGUAGGCGGUCUGUCGCGUCGGCUGUGAAAACUCGAGGCUCAACCUCGAGACGUCGGUUGAAACCGUCUGGCUAGAGUCCGGAAGAGGAGAGUGGAAUUCCCGGUGUAGCGGUGAAAUGCGCAGAUAUCGGGAAGAACACCCGUGGCGAAGGCGGCUCUCUGGGACGGUACUGACGCUGAGACGCGAAAGCGUGGGGAGCGAACAGG
rnacentral:rRNA from 1 species